UACGUAGGGUGCAAGCGUUGUCCGGAAUUAUUGGGCGUAAAGAGCUCGUAGGCGGUCUGUCGCGUCGGCUGUGAAACCUGGGCUCAACCCGGGCCUGCAGCCGAUACGGGCAGACUAGAAUUCGGUAGGGGAGACUGGAAUUCCUGGUGUAGCGGUGAAAUGCGCAGAUAUCAGGAGGAACACCGGUGGCGAAGGCGGGUCUCUGGGCCGAUAUGCGCUGAGACGAAGC
rnacentral:rRNA from 1 species